UCCCCAGGGGGGGUCCCCCGAAUGCUCCGGCUUCUUACCCCAUACAAAAAAACAAAACAAAAACGUGCAAUUGGGUCCCGAGAAGACUCUCUGUUGUGAAUUUACCAUUCAGCUCCUUGUCAGUGAAGAACCAAUUGGGCAAAAAGUCCUGAAACGGUGACUAGAUCGACAAAUUCAGAAGUUUCGAUUUAGUUGACCUUGAAGGGGUUAUAGUGCAGAUUAGAUGGAACUAGGAUUUACUGAAAGAAGUGUCCAGUAAGUGUAUGUGCAGUAUAUAGAUUAUGUCAGCAUGUUGUGUUGCUUUAUUACAUUAAGUGUUCCUCUGAGGAUGUCUGGGUGGAUCUUUCUUCUGACUGACGUCACAUGAUGAGUGCAUUGUUUGUACAUAACAAUAAUAGCGCAUGCAGUGACUUCUUGCGGCCGGCGUAAAUCAGGCGUGGUCUCCGGCUAAUGACAGAUAAUAACCUCGGCGAUCCCCACCACACGUCCCAAACCGAGCUCUCUACUCAUUUGGAAGUGAUCUGAGGCUUGAGGUAUGGCUAAAUAAAGGCAGCUGGCCACCAAGCAUAUGUGAGCUUUGGUCCCACUUAGGAGGCAGGAAACAACCGCUCUUCAAAAGUCUGAUUUUCUUUGCAGGGAUAACUUGCUGGAAAAGCUUCCAGAAGGUGAACAUUCCUUCUUCCCAUCCUGCUGUCAGUGUCAUCUCAGGCCUGCGUGGCUUCACUGCUUGUCUGGGCUUGCAGUAAGCAUAAGCCCUCCCCGUCACAUCGCCUCUACCUCAUGCUUGGCUAAGCCCCAUCUUGGACCUCUCACCGUUUAUUUUAAGUACCCCGGAGGGUGUUUUUUUUCCUGUUUGGAGCCCAGCUAUGCGGACCCAAAGAGGUGGUGUCACCGCGGAGGAUCAUCAUCAACAUUCAGGUCAUCCCAUUAGCUCCGACGCACUCCUUAUUUUGGCCACGCAGUCAGGGAUGCCCCGGCAUCACCUCUUGGAUUCAGCGAGUCAUUUGAGAUGCGUCAUGCUUGCGUCUGUCUUCUCCAGUCCAGGAUGUAUUACAGAGUACAGUAAUAUAGAUGUAUCUCCUAUGUAAAAACCCAUUAUUAUUAAAGGCAUAAACUCAUAACAUUCUGCUAAUACAAUAAUCAUUUAAUUUUAGGAUAAAAGUCCCCCCGCCUCUCAAUCAACUCCAAAGUGUUUUUUUGUUUUUGUUUUGUUUUUUUCGAACACAUUCAAAGAUAAGCUUUGGGUAUUGUGUUAACAUCUGUAGGAAUUGUGACAUCCACCCUUUUAAACUAUAUUCUUUUUCCCGGAAACUGCAACUUUCUCUUUGUGAUAACACGUUUUUGUAAGAGUACAAAUGUAUUAGAUUUUUUAAAAUGUACUUUUUCUUGUUAUAUUAAAAAAAUAUAUAU